AGGCAUGCCUUGGAACAGACAGAAAGCAUGAGAGGAGAUCAGGUGCAUUGAUGACAACGGGAUAUUAACGUGGGUGCCCCUCGUGAUCUCUCUCCAAGGACUGUUGUCGUUCCAAGUAGACCACAGCAGCCUUUCCUCAGAUGUCUUUAGCUGCAAAAUGGAGCUUGAUAAGAAAGAACCAUAAGAAUCAAUCUUAAUCAAGAGGCCUGUCUUUGUGAUUCUGACAGGUACUAUUAACCUUGCUAUGCAAAGGUGGUGCUUGUUAAGUUGCUAUUUUUAGAGCAGAAGAAGGCUCGGCUUUCUCUGUCCUUCAGAAGUACAUGACAGGGAAUGGUGUUAAAGAAUAAACAUGUGAUCGUAGAUUGGUAUUUACACAAAGUGGAGUGACACACCGAGGCACCUUCAGCAUUACUGAGAAAUAUUCCCUCCCACACACAAACACCCCUUUGCAUACACUUCAUCCAUACAGCAAUCCAUAACAGAACAAAGUCAGUAAGUUUCCAUUACUUUCCUACAUAAGAAGGUUAGCUGAAGAGAUGAAUGUGGUACAGUUGUUAUGCAAAGGACAAACACUGACCCGUGUGCACUAAUGCUUCCAUCCAUUUUAUUGCCAAACCAAUUGUCCACAUCUAUCUAUUUGUCAAAUUGGGUGACAUGCAUGGAUGGUAUGGGGAGAAUUCAAGUGGGAUUACAGAUAACAUAUAUCACUAGGAGAAAGCUACACCACCAGACCAAUUCAUCUGUUUGUGCUCUGUAAAGAAAACACUUUGUGGUUGCCCAAAUCUUUCAGAUUCAGUUUUAAUCCAUCCUUAAUUAUUUAACAAUUUCUGCUUAAUCUAGGUUUCAUGAUAAGCCUUGUUUGACAACACAAAUACUGGCACUGAAACAUCCAUGUUGGUUAUCAACACCAGCAUCUGCUCCUCUGCACCUGUCUAAAGGGAUAUUACCACUGAGCUAAGUCUCUGUGAUUCCUACCCGGGAGAGAUAAUAAGAUAUAGACUAGAAUGAGGCAUGGGAAACAACUUGGUCUGCUCUGUUUAAACAGCUCUGUUGUUUUAAGUUUUGACUUUUUUCUUUUCUUUGAAAAGUUGUGUGCUGGUGUUACAGAAUGUCAUUAGUGCAAACAUGAAAAUGAAAUGUGAAAAUGACAUAUUUUUAAUGGUUUAUUACCCAGCUUUCAUACUAAUCACCCAGCUGUGGUAAAUUCUCAAUUCUAAUUGGACAAAACAGUUUGACAACGGUAAUGCAUUCUGAAUUGCAAAAGGGACACUAGGGACAACCUGAUCACACAUGUCACAUCUAGUGUAGUGCUCAUGACUUCACCUCUUCCUGUUGACAGUCUGAGAAAAAUGUUAUUUUCUGAAAGCAUCAGUAAAUAAAAUGAAGGAUAAUUUUAA